rnacentral:rRNA from 1 species
AUUGAACGCUGGCGGCAUGCCUUACACAUGCAAGUCGAACGGCAGCACGGGUGCUUGCACCUGGUGGCGAGUGGCGAACGGGUGAGUAAUACAUUGGAACGUACCUUAUUGUGGGGGAUAACGCAGCGAAAGCUGUGCUACUACCGCAUACGCCCUGAGGGGGAAAGCGGGGGAUCGCAAGACCUCGCGCGAUUAGAGCGGCCGAUGCCUGAUUAGCUAGUUGGUGGGGUAAAAGCCCCCCAAGGCGACGAUCAGUAGCUGGUUUGAGAGGACGAUCAGCCACACUGGGACUGAGACCCGGCCCCGACUCCUACGGGAGGCAGCAGUGGGGAAUUUUGGACAAUGGGCGCAAGCCUGAUCCAGCCCUUUCGCGUGGGUGAAGAAGGCCUUCGGGUUGUAAAGCCCUUUUGUCAGGGAGCAAAUCCUGCGUGUGAAUAAUGCGCGGGGAUGAGAGUACCUGAAGAAUAAGCACCGGCUAACUACGUG